AACGCGAAGAACCUUACCCAGGUUUGACAUCCUUGGAAUUUCUCCGAAAGGAGAGAGUGCUUUAUUGAGCCAAGUGACAGGUGUUGCAUGGCCGUCGUCAGCUCGUGUCGUGAGAUGUUUGGUUAAGUCCAUCAACGAGCGCAACCCUUAUGAAUAGUUGAAUUUUUCUAUUCAGACUGCCCUGGCAACAGGGAGGAAGGAGGGGAUGGAUGUCAGGUCAGUAUUACCCUUAUACCUGGGGCUACAAACACGCUACAAUGGCCGGUACAAAGGGCUGCUAAGUCGCAAGGCGGAGCAAAUCCCAUCAAAACCGGUCUCAGUUCGGAUAGCAGGCUGAAACCCGCCUGCUUGAAGCCGGAAUCGCUAGUAAUGGUGAGUCAGCACAUCGCCGUGAAUACGUUCCCGGGCUUGUACACACCGUGUCGA
rnacentral:rRNA from 1 species